rnacentral:snoRNA from 1 species
UUCCUCAAAAUCAUGCAAUUAAAAAAUUAUUUGCAACACACCCGACAGGAAUCAGGGUUCAUUGUGACAAGGGGCACAAAACUUGUGGCCUUCCUAUGAACAGAUACCCAACACAU